UGCCUGUCAGCAGAGCCAGAAUGGACACAUA
rnacentral:piRNA from 1 species